rnacentral:tRNA from 1 species
GUGGCUUAACCGCCGUCGGCAACCGUCCUGGAUCGACCUGAUAAGGAUGAGGCCACAGGUUCAAAUCCUGUUAGCCCCACCA